rnacentral:rRNA from 1 species
UCGCGAAACCUUCACACUGGGGGAAACCCUGAUGAGGGAAUUCCUAGUGCCUGCAUUUUUUGUAGGCUUUUAUCUAGUGUAGAUAGCUAGAAGAAUAAGGGCCGGGUAAGACGGGUGCCAGCCGCCGCGGUAAUACCCGCGGCCCAAGUGGUGGUCGAUAUUAUUGAGUCUAAAACGUCCGUAGCCGGUUCAGUAAAUCUUUGGGUAAAUCGGCCAGCUUAACUGACCGAAUUCCGAAGAGACUGCUGAACUUGGGACCGGGAGAGGCCAGAGGUACUUCUGGGGUAGGGGUAAAAUCCUGUAAUCCUAGAAGGACCACCGGUGGCGAAGGCGUCUGGCUAGAACGGAUCCGACGGUGAGGGACGAAGCCCUGGGGCGCAAACGGGAUUAGAUACCCCGGUAGUCCAGGGUGUAAACGCUGCAGGCUUGGUGUUGGGGGUCCUUCGGGGGCGCCCAGUGCCGGAGAGAAGUUGUUAAGCCUGCUACUUGGGGAGUACGUCCGCAAGGAUGAAACUUAAAGGAAUUGGCGGGGGAGCACCGCAACGGGAGGAGCGUGCGGUUUAAUUGGAUUCAACACCGGAAAACUCACCAGGAGCGACGGUUACAUGAAAGUCAGCUGAUGACCCUUACUAGAUUUUCC